UAGUCCACGCUGUAAACGAUGAUCACUCGUUGUUGGCAAUAUAUCGUCAGCGACUGAGCGAAAGUAUUAAGUGAUCCACCUGGGAAGUACGAUCGCAAGGUUGAAACUCAAAGGAAUUGACGGGGGCCCGCACAAGCGGUGGAGCAUGUGGUUUAAUUCGAUGAUACGCGAGGAACCUUACCUGGGCUUAAAUGUAGGACGCUUGUCCCCGAAAGGGGAUUUUCCUUCGGGACGUCUUACAAGGUGCUGCAUGGUUGUCGUCAGCUCGUGCCGUGAGGUGUCGGGUUAAGUCCCAUAACGAGCGCAACCCCUAUUCUUAGUUGCCAUCAGGUCAUGCUGGGGACUCUAAGGAAACUGCCUACGCAAGUAGUGAGGAAGGUGGGGAUGACGUCAAAUCAGCACGGGCCCUUAUGUCCAGGGGCUACACACGUGCUACAAUGGCCGGUACAGA
rnacentral:rRNA from 1 species